GGCACUCAGUCAGAGGUUGGCUCUCCGUUUCGCUGCAGGGUCCCUUCAUUCUUCACAUAUCCGUGUCGAGCCGAGUGUAAAUCCCGACGCUGAACGGCCUUUGUACAAGCACACACGCUUCGUAGCAGGGAGAAGCUAUGAGCUAGAAAAAUCCAGCCUGGCAGACAGCCUGUGUCUGACCAACCAAUCAGAGAGCUCCUUACAUCCCACGGUGUGGCUAAUUUGAAUAGCCUCCAGCAAGUUGUUAAUCGAAGAGCUAAUCCAGCAGCUAAUCCAGGAGCUAAUCCAGCAGCUAAUCCCGGAGCGAACAGGAAAGGGAAAUGGAUUUUGAACUGCAGUUUAUUAAAUUGCAAGUGGAAAAAGGAUUUUGAACUGCAGUUUAUUAAAUUGCAGGUGGAAAAAGGAUUUUGACCUGCAGUUUAUUAAAUUGCAAGUGGAAAAAGGAUUUUGAACUGCAGUUUAUUAAAUUGCAAGUGGAAAAAGGAUUUUGAACUGCAGUUUAUUAAAUUGCAGGUGGAAAAAGGAUUUUGAACUGCAGUUUAUUAAAUUGCAAGUGGAAAAAGGAUUUUGAACUGCAGUUUAUUAAAGUGCAACUGAAAAAAGGAUUUUAAAAUGCAGUUUAUUAAAGUGCAAUUGGAAAAAGGAUUUUGAAAUGCAAUUGGAAAAAGGAUUUUGAAAUGCAGUUUAUUAAAUUGGAAUUCAAAAAUGAAUUUACAAUUGCAGAAUUUAUUCUACAAUUCAUUAUUAAAGCACAGAGAUUUUUAUUUCAAUGCGCG
ensembl:lncRNA